GAAACAUUUUCCUAGAAAUCACAAAACCCAAAAUUAGACCUACCCACACCAAAAUCAAACUUCCGAAAUAACCGUCCUUCACCGAUGUUAGCAUGAAACCUAAAUUGAAUCGGGUGAGUUAGGAGUUAGGACCAAUAGCCGAUGUUAGGGUUUGACAAUGAGUAGGGAGAUAGUGAAUCGUGUCUUCCUGUAGGUAAAGAAACCGAGAUCUAGGGUUUGGUCGAGAUUCGAAUGUUCUCGUUCUUCCUUUGAACCAGAAUGGUCGUGUACACGGUUAAAUGGCGUGAUAAGCACGCUAACACUUCAGGAGUAAUCUGUUCCUAUCGCACCUCUUGUCACAGACGGUGAACCCACUGGAAAACCUAAGUGAUUUUCUUAAUUUUCCCGCUAUUUUUGGGAUUUCUCAAAUUCGCCUCCAA